GGAGAGGUCGCCAUUGGCAAAGCAAUCUGUUUGCUAAACAGUCGUAGAACUAAUCAUUCUACUGUGGGUUCGACUCCCACUCUCUCCG
rnacentral:tRNA from 1 species